rnacentral:rRNA from 1 species
CCUACGGGCGGCAGCAGUGAGGAAUAUUGGUCAAUGGCCGAGAGGCUGAACCAGCCAAGUCGCGUGAGGGAAGACGGCCCUACGGGUUGUAAACCUCUUUUGUCGGGGAGCAAAGCGAACCACGUGUGGUUCAUUCAGAGUACCCGAAGAAAAAGCAUCGGCUAACUCCGUGCCAGCAGCCGCGGUAAUACGGAGGAUGCGAGCGUUAUCCGGAUUUAUUGGGUUUAAAGGGUGAGCAGGGGGAGGUGCAAGUCAGCGGUCAAAUUUCGUGGCUCAACCCCGUACUGCCGUUGAAACUGCAUGCCUUGAGUGCGAGAGAAGUAUGCGGAAUGCGUGGUGUAGCGGUGAAAUGCAUAGAUAUCACGCAGAACUCCGAUUGCGAAGGCAGCAUACCGGCGCGCAACUGACGCUCAUGCACGAAAGCGUGGGUAUCGAACAGAAUUAGAUACCCCAGUAGUC